GAGCGCGGGAGCGCCAUCCUCCCCCACUAGCUCCCAGAAGAUCUUGGAAGGAGGGUACCUGCUGCUGCGGAAGGCUGCUCCUCACCCCCUCCCCUGGUGAUGCUGCUGUACCAACUGCAUCUACACUUGAGAAAGACACUCGGUACUACUUAGUGCACCUAACGCAAGGUUGGUGAAUAUCUUAAGAGAUUUUGAUUUUUCGUCUUUGACCUACGACCAUCUUUUCAUUGUCCUGGCUCUUUGUGAUCCGUACGCGAUGAAUGCAUUUUUUUUUUUUUUCGAAUUUUUAAUGUAAUAAUUUGAAGCAUUUGGUCUUGUGUGUAAUAAACAUUUUGGAAAGGAUAAAGGGAGCCCUUCACCCAAAGGGCUGCCAUCACCCUGGGUAGCCCUAAGGGCUGCUGCCACCCUGGGUAGCCCUAACAGCUGCCAUCACCCUGGGUAGCCCUAACGGCUGCCAUCACCAUGGGUAGCCCUAACGAUUGACCAAACUGGGUAGUCCUAACGGCUACCAACACCCUUGGUAGCCCUAACUUCUGCCAACUCCCUUGGUAGCCCUAACGGCUGCCAACACCCUUGGUAGCCCUAACUGCUGCCAACACUCUUGAUUGCCCUAACGACUGCCAACACUCUUUGUAGCCCUAACCGCUGCCAGCACCCUUGGUAGCCCUAACGACUGCCAACACCCUUCGUACCCCUAACGGCUGCCAACACCCUUCGUACUCCUAACGGCUACCAUCACCCGUUAACCAUAACGGCUGCCAGCACCCUAGGUAAUCCUAAAGGCUGCCAGCACCCUAGAUAGCCCUAAAGGCUGCCAGCACCCUGGGCAGCGUAAAAAGGCCCUGACAGCUGCCACCACCAUGGUAGCUUAAUGAAAAGGUCUUUAUGGCUUGAUAGCCCAAACGCCUGACAUCACCCUGGUAGCUUUAAAAGGUCUGCUAUACUGGCUAGCCCUAAUGACUACAUUUAUGUAUUUUCUUCCACAUAACCAUUUUAAAAAUUUGCAGCCUACCAUGAUUAAUCUGGUAAUUGAUUUCUGAUUACUCUUUCCAUUACUGAUUUGUUCAGUCCCUCAUUCCAGCAUUGUCAAUGUCUAGCUUACAAUUUUAAUGUUAAAUAUUUUUUACAGAUUUGCUAUGUACAUUUGAGCUCUUUAUUUUUGUAUAAUAAAUGUAUUUAAAAAAAAAAUUUCCCGUGCAUAAAAAUAUUUAAUUGUAAUAUAGAAAACAUUGAUACUAUGUGCAGUAAUUAUUUUCAUUUUGUAACCAAAAUAUUGAAGAUUUAAUUUUGUAACUAAAUAUUGGAGAUUUAAUGUUUGUUUCUUGGUUUAUUUUUGCUUAUGAUCUCAAAUACAGCUGCAUCGUUUACCUUUGAGCUUAAAAUACUCAUUUCUUUCAGCCCCUUAAAUAUUUUUCUCUUUCAGCUCAACAUGUCAUUAUGUUUGGUAAACAUUUUUUUUUCUUUCAGCUUUAAUCCAGUUUUUUCAGCUUAAUCCGUUUUUCUUUCACCUUAAUCUGUUUUCUUUCAGCUUGAUCUGUUUUUCUUUCAGCGUAUACCAUUUUCAGCUUAAUUUUUCUUUCGGCCUAAUUCAUUUUUCUU